rnacentral:rRNA from 1 species
CACGUAGGGACCAAGCGUUGUCCGGAUUCAUUGGGCGUAAAGAGCUCGUAGGCGGUUCAGUAAGUCGGGUGUGAAACCUCCAGGCUCAACCUGGAGACGCCACCCGAUACUGCUGUGACUAGAGUCCAGUAGGGGAGCGUGGAAUUCCUGGUGUAGCGGUGAAAUGCGCAGAUAUCAGGAGGAACACCAGCGGCGAAGGCGGCGCUCCGGGCUGGAACUGACGCUGAGGAGCGAAAGCGUGGGGAGCGAACAGG